UACGGGGGGGGGCAAGCGUUGUUCGGAAUUACUGGGCGUAAAGGGCUCGUAGGCGGCCAACUAAGUCGGAUGUGAAAUCCCCAAGCUUAACUUGGGAACUGCAUCCGAUACUGGAUGGCUUGAAUCCGGGAGAGGGAUGCAGAAUUCCAGGUGUAGCGGUGAAAUGCGUAGAUAUCUGGAGGAACACCGGUGGCGAAGGCGGCAUCCUGGACCGGCAUUGACGCUGAGGCGCGAAAGCCAGGGGAGCAAACGGGG
rnacentral:rRNA from 1 species